CUUUGGGGUCCCUGUCUUCUCCUAUAAGGAUCUCCUAUAAUGCAAAAUAAAAGAUAAAAUGUUGGGAGUAUCAAGUUGGCCCUUGUGUAGUUAUUGAAGCCGCUGAUCAUAUUUGGUGCUCAAGGUACAUCCUUGAGAUAAU